UAUCUCUGUAGAGUCUGCAUAUCAAUAAGCGGAGGAAAAGAAACUAACUAGGAUUCCCUUAGUAACGGCGAGUGAAGCGGGAAGAGCUCAAAUUUGAAAUCUUCAAGGUUCUACCUUGACGAAUUGUAGUUUAAAGAAGUGUUUUCUGUUGGUAGUUUUGGUAAAAGUUCUUUGGAAUAGGACAUCAUAGAGGGUGAGAAUCCCUGUAUUUGACCAUUAUUUCCAGCUUUGUGAUACACUUUCAAAGAGUCGGAUUGUUUGGGGAUGCAGUCCAAAAUGGGUGGUAAAUUUCAUCUAAAGCUAAAUAUUGGCGAGAGACCGAUAGCGAACAAGUACCGUGAGGGAAAGAUGAAAAGAACUUUGAAAAGAGAGUUAAACAGUACGUGAAAUUGUCAAAAGGGAAGCGUUUGACACCAGUGUUGUUUUCUCGAAAAUCAAUUAAAAAAGGCAGGAUUUUGUGUUGUAUUGACUUUAUCAGCUUACUGUACUCUUUUCCUGCUCUUUUUAAUGCACUUUUCGUUUAACAAGUCAACAUCAAUUUCUUUUGUUGUAAAAGAGUCAUUGGAAGGUGGCUUUCACUUCGGUGAAAGUGUUUAUAGCCUUUGGCUUCUGCAAUCGGAGAGAUUGAGGUCUGCAGCGUAGAUCCUUCGGGGUUAGAUACGUAGAUGCUAAGUUAUAGUUUUUUAUAGACAACUUGUUGACUAUAAUUAAUCAUGUAGCUUACUCGUUUGCGCUAUUUUACCUACGCUUAGGAUGUUGAGUCAUCACACAUCUCU
rnacentral:rRNA from 1 species